rnacentral:rRNA from 1 species
UCGAGGAUCUUCGGCAAUGAGCGCAAGCUUGACCGAGCGACGCCGCGUGUGCGAUGAAGGCCUUCGGGUUGUAAAGCACUGUCGAGAGGGAGAAAGGGAAACUUGAUCUAUCUCUGGAGGAAGCACGGGCUAAGUUCGUGCCAGCAGCCGCGGUAAGACGAACCGUGCGAACGUUGUUCGGAAUCACUGGGCUUAAAGGGCGCGUAGGCGGGCUGUCAAGUCUGGGGUGAAAUCCUUCGGCUCAACCGAAGAAUGGCCUCAGAUACUGACGGUCUCGAGGGGGAUAGGGGCAUGCGGAACUAGGGGUGGAGCGGUGAAAUGCGUUGAUAUCCUUAGGAACUCCGGUGGCGAAGGCGGCAUGCUGGAUCCUUUCUGACGCUGAGGCGCGAAAGCCAGGGGA